GGUGUGUGUGUGUGUGUGUGUGUGUGUGUGUGUGUGUGUGUGUGUGUGUGUGUGUGUGUGUGUGUGUGUGUGUGUGUGUGUGUGUGUGUGUGUGUGUGUGUGUGUGUGUGUGUGUGUGUGUGUUCCAACGUCCCUGGAAAUGGUGUCUGUGGUGUAGCCGAAUUUGCGGAAGCAAACGAGGCCUCCAGGUAAUCGAGCUCAAAACUUCAAAUCAAAUCAAAUCAAAUCUUAUUUGUCACAUACACAUGGUUAGCAGAUGUUAGUGCGAGUGUAGCGAAAUGCUCGUGCUUCUAGUUCCGACAAUGCAGUAAUAACCAACAAGUAAUCUAGCUAACAAUUCCAAAACUACUACCUUAUAGACACAAGUGUAAGGGGAUAAAUAAUAUGUACAUAAAGAUAUAUGAAUGAGUGAUGGUACAGAGCGGCAUAGGCAAGAUACAGUAGAUGGUAUUGAGUGCAGUAUAUACAUAUGAGAUCAGUAUGUAAACAACUUGCGGACUUCUCCCCCAACAUGUUCAAGAGGGAAAUACAUGUGUACACCUUGCAGCUGUAGAGGGAAGUGGGCAACACGGCCACCUUCUUUUACAACAAUUUGGUGUGUAACUAUAUUUACAAAAGGACUGCAGAGCCUGCCGUGAGCUGGAGAACUUGCUAGAGAUAAAGCCCUUCCUCUCUGUGGUUCAUGCCAAAGCUCGUGGAGUGUGAGGUAUUAUACAAGUCUUUUCAAUCCCACUAGUGAGUAGUGAAUUAUCGUGUCAUAUGUACACUGUAAUCAGUGUCAUAGGUACAUUGUUUCUUCGUAAGAAGAUCACGUUCAUUCUCACCCAAUACAUAUAUCAAAUGGGGAGGGGCCAACCAGGAGAGUGCAGCCUGUACACUUGGGGAGGAAGUUGAACAGGCAAACGCCCUCAUCUUGAAGAUAUACUGUAUUUGGUGCAAAUAGCUGUCGCAAUACAUGGAACUGGUUUGCCUGGGUGUAGCUUUGUGUAUGUGGCUGUCAGUGAGGUUAAAGGAUACAUUUUAAAGUUGAAAAAAAAACCUGUCCUAGCACUUGUGUCAGCUACGUAGUCUAGAUUUCAUGACCAAUUAAUGACUGGGUGGCGUUCUGCUUUAAAUGAAAACUGCACUCGUCUCUGUAAAUGUGACUCCUUCAACAGAGCACUGGACCAGCGCAGUUGGCGUUUCACCCAUAUGAGUGCUACCCUGAGCAAAUGAUUCCGUGAGACCAAGCAAAAACUUCUGAAGGAAAAGGAGAGUCUUGAAGUUCUGAAGAACCUAAUGUCUGUGAAUGAUGGCCCGGUACAGCAGUGAGUCACUGAUGUCCAGGAGUGGGAAUCCCACGGACUCGUCUUGUUCAUUGGCGGGGCUUACCUUGACAGGACAAACCUCCAUGCCUCUGGCUGGUGCCUGGAUGAGGGGGUCCUGGGACUCCUUCAGGGAGAAGUCUUGGAGGUCGAGUGUCCUGGAGGGCCUGCACUCCUCCCUCCACCACCACAACACCACCCCCGCCAAUAGCACACUCAGGACAACUGGGUAGAAAAUAUAGACUGAAAUAUUGUCCAGAAAGGACCACAUUGGACAGAAAGGGGCACACCUUAUAGGACUAAUAAGACAUAAUA